ACGUCCCCAGGGAUGCGGAUUAGAACAUCCCAUGAUCUUUUUAAAACAACUGGAUUUUUAAAAAGUUAAUCACCACGUUGUCUCUUCUCACGUUAAGUCAGAAGAUUGAUCGCUUUUGAUGUCUCUGAGUGUAAAGUUAAAGCUCCCAGGAUCCACACCUUAGAUCCACGCCACAACUGUCACAUGUUCAGAAGUGACACAGCUUCUCAAAACCAUGCAAGGUAUGCAGGAGGACUGGCCGAGCUGAAUGGUGGACGGAUCAAGGCCCUGCAGCUCCCCGCUGUUGGAAGCAGCUGUCUAACAGGGCAAGUGUUUGUUCCCAGAUCUGGAGCACAAUGGUUCAUGAUUCCUCGAUUAAAGGACAACUUAGCUGUGCACUAACGUGGCCAUUCACAUGCU